CAAAAUUGGGAAGGACCCCUAGUCCAGCCCCUCCCUCCUCCCGUCAGUUCUGUAAUCGGACUUCUGCCCCUUUUCCUCUUCCCAAAUCCCGUCGCCCUCCCCUCUCCGUCCGACCGUCCAACGCCGUCCGCCGCCUCCGUAGUCCAGCGCCUCCCUCCUCCCGUCAGUUCUGUUCGGACUUCUGCCCCUCUUCCUCUUCCCAAAUCCCGUCGCCCUCCCCUCUCCGUCCGACCGUCCAACGCUGUCCGCCGCUACGCCGCUUCGCCACGCUGAAUCAGUCCACGCCGAAUCAGUCCACGAUGGUGUCGCCGCCCUCAGUCUGCCGGCGUCGCUGCCCUCCUGCGUGACCUCCGCAAAUCGCCAAUCAUCGCCGCCUCGCUGCUUCUCUUUCAGGCGUAACUGCUUCUUUAAUUUUGUUCACAUCUAUUGUUGCAGAUGCAAUUGAUUUGUCUCCUAAUCUGCAACUUGUUGGCUUUUGAAGUUUCCUCCUCAUCACUGUAAAUACCAUCAGCCCAUUGGCCUCCUUUAGGAACCAUUCUUUCCGUAGAAAAGUUUGCAAAGAUUCCUCAUGAGUCGUGUCCACCCAAUUGAGCGUACUCUGAAAAUCCUCUCAUAGCAUCUCAUCUCUUCAACUCUGAAUCAGCAUCCUCUUCAGAAAUGGGGGAAUUUCAUAUUUUUUCCGGUUAUUUUGGGUUAACCGAAUAACCGAAUCGGUUAACCGAUUCGGUUAUUGGUUAACCGAAUAUUCAAAACGGUUCGGGUUCGGUUAUUGAUUUUAGGUGAAUUUCGGGUUCGGGUAACCGAAAAUUUCGGUUCGGGUACCCGAAACCGAACCGUUUAACAGCCCUAAUCAGCAUAAUGUAGUGCGCUCAAACGAUUUUGCAAAUUGUUAGUCGUUAAAUGCUGAUGUGUUAUUUUAGGUAGUCACAGCUACUAUAUNCAAAUCAGACAUAACAAUAUCCAUAAGCCAUGCAGUGCAGUUAUCAGCAUAAUGUAGUGCGCUCAAACGAUUUUGCAAAUUGUUAGUCGUUAAAUGCUGAUGUGUUAUUUUAGGUAGUCACAGCUGCUAUAUCAUGUGUAUUUUUAUGUUGAAUUUGAUAACAAU
rnacentral:lncRNA from 1 species